GACAGAAACACAGGGGGCGAUCCAGAGCUUCCCUUCAAACCCUAAUUCCUCACAAAACUCUCAAAUCGAUGGUCCAAACCAAGUCCAAAUCGAAAUCCAAGUACGGAAUAGUGAUCUCCACUGAAAAAGGGGUCACAAGGAAAAGAUACCGGGACGUCAAGUGGACAAGCCGGAGGCGACUUGCGUUUGAAGGGCGUACUUUAAAAAGGUGAUGAUGGACUAAAUCCGGAUGGCGAUCAAGCACUAAUCCAAGAACCGAACACGAUCUUUUGAAGCUUUCGCGAUUACUUAUUCAUGUUUAAAGCAAUGUCUAUGUAGCUAACACUUAAAUACUUGUUUUUAUU